CGAGUCUGGAGUUCCAGUGUUUCUGGUGUUAACCAUACAACAAUGCACCCAGUCAUCAGGAUCAUCAUAGUCCUCAGACUUCAAAUUUGCAUUACCAGCUAAGGUUGGAUUUGCCUCCUGCAACCUAGUCAAGACCUGUCUCAGAUUCUCAAGGUGUUCAUCAAAAGAUUUGGACAUGAUUAUCGCAUCAUCAAGUACACUGACUAACAGCCUCAACAUUUGCAACAACAGUAUCUUUGUACAGCUUGCUGCUAGAAUUACCCAUGUUCAAGAAUCGCAAAGGAACAAUACCCAAACUGGGGUCAACAAUGGCUUUUGCUAGUAGCUGAAUAUCCUGACUGAAAGGAGAUCCUGUUCUACUUGGAUUAUCUCCCCCUGACCCAGUGCUGGAUUCAUCAUUGUGUGGAUCUUGGAUCCUACAAAAUGAGAUU